rnacentral:lncRNA from 1 species
AUGAAGGGACUAGGAGUUGAAGGGAUUUCUUUUCAGCUACCUAAUGCCUUGUGUCUUUUAUCAGGACAAAUGAGUGCUAAUUCUUCAGCCCUCCUGUUGGAUCAUGUCCACUCAGAUAGUCUUCACCCACUAAGCUCUUUCGACUUUUUGAGAAGCACAAGGAAAUCACUGAAGCCAUUCCCAAUGCAGAUCUUCUCAAAGUCCUUCUUUGGCACUUUGGAAAGGAUAUCCAACAUUUCAUUCUCAUCAACUACCUUCUUUAUGUUCUUCUUUGGAGCUGGAGGUCCCCUGCGCAUAUACAUCUCACAGAAUUACACCUUUGAAAACCCAGAAUCUCUGAGGGCAAAUACUGGAGGCCCUGUCCUCAUUCCCUCCGCCCUAAAGAUCCUUCACAGCCUUCUCCAAAGCCCCAGAAACAAACAGAAGUAUUCCCAUGACAGUGAUGUAUUUCGGAUCAGGUCCAUUCUUGGCCUAAGAUAG